rnacentral:rRNA from 1 species
CGCUGGCGGCAUGCCUAACACAUGCAAGUCGAACGGGAUCCGGACUUCGGUACCGGUGAGACGUGGCGGACGGGUGACGUAACGCGUGGGAAUCUGCCCAUUGGUCUGGGAUAACCGCGGGAAACUGCGGCUAAUACCGGAUGAGCUCUAGCGAGGAAAGAUUUAUCGCCGAUGGAGGAGCCCGCGUCAGAUUAGGUAGUUGGUGGGGUAACGGCCUACCAAGCCUACGAUCUGUAGCUGGUCUGAGAGGAUGAUCAGCCACACUGGGACUGAGAUACGGCCCAGACUCCUACGGGAGGCAGCAGUGGGGAAUAUUUGGACAAUGGGGGCAACCCUGAUCCAGCAAUGCCGCGUGAGUGAUGAAGGCCUUAGGGUUGUAAAGCUCUUUUGGCGGGGACGAUGAUGACGGUACCCGCAGAAUAAGCCCCGGCUAACUUCGUGCCAGCAGCCGCGGUAAUACGAAGGGGGCGAGCGUUGUUCGGAAUUACUGGGCGUAAAGGGCGCGUAGGCGGCCGAUCGAGUCAGAUGUGAAAGUCCUGGGCUUAACCUGGGGACUGCAUUUGAUACUGAUUGGUUGAAUGCAGGAGAGGAUAGCGGAAUUCCCAGUGUAGAGGUGAAAUUCGUAGAUAUUGGGAAGAACACCGGUGGCG